CUUAAAUUGAAGAGUUUGAUCAUGGCUCAGAUUGAACGCUGGCGGCAGGCCUAACACAUGCAAGUCGAGCGGAAACGAGUUAUCUGAACCUUCGGGGGACGAUAACGGCGUCGAGCGGCGGACGGGUGAGUAAUGCCUAGGAAAUUGCCCUGAUGUGGGGGAUAACCAUUGGAAACGAUGGCUAAUACCGCAU
rnacentral:rRNA from 1 species